UUUGAAACACCAGAUCCCGUACUAUGACCGAAGUUAAGCAACAUCGAGCCUGGUCAGUACCUAGAUGGGUGACCGCUUGGGGGGACCAG